rnacentral:rRNA from 1 species
UGCAAGUCGUGCGGACCUUUUAAAAGCUUGCUUUUAACAAGGCUAGCGGCGGACGGGUGAGUAACACGUGGGCAACCUGCCUGUAAGACCGGGAUAACGCCGGGAAACCGGGGCUAAUACCGGAUAGUUUUUUCCUCCGCAUGGAGGAAAAAGGAAAGGCGGCUUCGGCUGCCACUUACAGAUGGGCCCGCGGCGCAUUAGCUAGUUGGCGGGGUAAUGGCCCACCAAGGCAACGAUGCGUAGCCGACCUGAGAGGGUGAUCGGCCACAUUGGGACUGAGACACGGCCCAAACUCCUACGGGAGGCAGCAGUAGGGAAUCUUCCGCAAUGGACGAAAGUCUGACGGAGCAACGCCGCGUGAGUGAAGAAGGCCUUCGGGUCGUAAAACUCUGUUGCCGGGGAAGAACAAGUGCCGUUCGAACAGGGCGGCGCCUUGACGGUACCCGGCCAGAAAGCCACGGCUAACUAC